rnacentral:rRNA from 1 species
AUUGAACGCUGGCGGCAGGCUUAACACAUGCAAGUCGAGCGGAGAUGAGGUGCUUGCACCUUAUCUUAGCGGCGGACGGGUGAGUAAUGCUUAGGAAUCUGCCUAUUAGUGGGGGACAACAUUCCGAAAGGAAUGCUAAUACCGCAUACGUCCUACGGGCGAAAGCAGGGGAUCUUCGGACCUUGCGCUCAUAGAUGAGCCUAAGUCGGAGUAGCUAGUUGGUGGGGUAAAGGCCUACCAAGGCGACGAUCUGUAGCGGGUCUGAGAGGAUGAUCCGCCACACUGGGACUGAGACACGGCCCAGACUCCUACGGGAGGCAGCAGUGGGGAAUAUUGGACAAUGGGGGGAACCCUGAUCCAGCCAUGCCGCGUGUGUGAAGAAGGCCUUAUGGUUGUAAAGCACUUUAAGCGAGGAGGAGGCUACUGAGACUAAUACUCUUGGAUAGUGGACGUUACUCGCAGAAUAAGCACCGGCUAACUCUGUGCCAGCAGCCGCGGUAAUAC